UACAUCGUCACCCACAGAGGAAGCCGUAGCUCAGGAAGCAGCCAGAACCAGGCGUUUACACGUGAAAUCUUAGGCUUGAUCAGGAAAGGGAGAUUUUAAUCCUGAUGGGAAAGGGACUUCUGAGAAAAUACCUAAGAACUGGAUGGUGGGCAGGGCAGUCUGGUAAGCCGCAGCCUGCAGAUAUGGUGCUUUCUCUCAUGGUGAACAGCUCUGCCCAGAGAUUGGAGGGAGACAGAGGGCGGUGACUGGAGUUGUGAGCUCACCUACUCUACAACUUUAUUCCAGUCUCUUCCAUAAGUCAGUCCCUUACAAUACACCCAGACUGACCCCUCCUGCUGCAGUAGGAUCUCUGUAUCUUCCCUC
rnacentral:lncRNA from 1 species